AACGAACGCUGGCGGCAGGCCUAACACAUGCAAGUCGAGCGAAGCCUUCGGGCUUAGCGGCGGACGGGUGAGUAACGCGUGGGAACGUGCCCUUUGGUACGGAAUAGCCCCGGGAAACUGGGAGUAAUACCGUAUGUGGUCGAGAGACGAAAGAUUUAUCGCCAAAGGAUCGGCCCGCGUUGGAUUAGGUAGUUGGUGGGGUAAUGGCCUACCAAGCCGACGAUCCAUAGCUGGUUUGAGAGGAUGAUCAGCCACACUGGGACUGAGACACGGCCCAGACUCCUACGGGAGGCAGCAGUGGGGAAUCUUAGACAAUGGGGGAAACCCUGAUCUAGCCAUGCCGCGUGAUCGAUGAAGGCCUUAGGGUUGUAAAGAUCUUUCAGUGGGGAAGAUAAUGACUGUACCCACAGAAGAAGCCCCGGCUAGCUCCGUGCCAGCCGCCGCCGUAACAC
rnacentral:rRNA from 1 species